GUGCCAGCAGCCGCGGUCCUCCUUCUUUGGCCCGCGUUACCCGGAAUUACUGGGCGUAAAGGGGGCGUAGGCGGUAAAAGAAGUCAUCUGUGAAAACCUAUUGCUCAACGAUAGGCUAGCGGAUGAAACUGAAUUACUUGAGGGCACCAGAGGUAGACGGAAUUACCCGAGUAGGGGUGAAAUCCGCAGAUACGGGUAGGAACGCCGGUGGAGAAGUCGGUCUACUGGGGUGCACCAGACGCUGAGGCCCGAAAGCUAGGGGAGCAAACCGGAUUAGAUACCCGGGUAGUCCUAGCCGUAAACGAUGCUCACUAGGUGUAGGGAGUGAUAAACUCUCUGUGCUGAAGCGAACGCGCUAAGUGAGCCGCCUGGGGAGUACGUCCGCAAGGAUGAAACUCAAAUAAAUUGGCGG
rnacentral:rRNA from 1 species